GGCGAACGGGUGAGUAACACGUGGGCAACCUGCCCUCAGCUCUGGGACAACUCCGGGAAACCGGGGCUAAUACCGGAUACGACCGCUUCCUGCAUGGGAUGGUGGUGGAAAGAUUUAUCGGCUGGGGAUGGGCCCGCGGCCUAUCAGCUUGUUGGUGGGGUGAUGGCCUACCAAGGCGACGACGGGUAGCCGGCCUGAGAGGGCGACCGGCCACACUGGGACUGAGACACGGCCCAGACUCCUACGGGAGGCAGCAGUGGGGAAUAUUGCGCAAUGGGCGGAAGCCUGACGCAGCGACGCCGCGUGAGGGAUGAAGGCCUUCGGGUUGUAAACCUCUUUCAGCAGGGACGAAGCGGGAGUGACCGGUACCUGCAGAAGAAGCACCGGACAACUACGUGCCAGCCGCCGCGG
rnacentral:rRNA from 1 species